UCUUUUUAAUUCUGUGUUUAGAAAUGCUUAAAUAGGAUUUACUUGCGUGGGAGGGAUGAAGAGCAAGAAAUUCCUAUUGAAUAUCUGGAGAAGCUUCACUACAAACAUGAAAGCUGGCUUCAGCAUAAGACACUGCGAACAGAUUUUGAAUAUCUACAAGAAAUACCUAUUUUAACAUUAGAUGUUAAUGAAGACUUCAAAGGCAAAAAGGACAGAUACGAUCACAUGACUGAGAAGGUGAAGGAAUUUUUGAGCACAUUAUAAUCCUCUUUGAAGCACAGACGGGGCCAAACUGUUCCAAACAUCUGUGUGAUCAAAGUCUGAAGUAAAACUUCUGCUUUUAUAGAAUGCCUCUGGAGAGGCAGGACUCAACUUUUGAAUUAGUUGAGAGAAACAAGCAAACUUUGUGGAUAGAGAAAUUAUUAAAUAAAUUGGUAGAUCUAUUCAAUAUCAUGCCAAGUAGUACGGACAGAUUGUGAGCAUAUUAGAGUCUUGAGAGUUACUGGAUAUUCUGCCUGUUUAUUAAUCAGACCAAUAAGUUCUUCUGGAGUAUUUUACUGUAUAUAUAUAUAUAUAUAUUAUUUUUUUUUUGGAUUUAUUUUGUGCCCAAUAGUUAUUUAAUUUUCAAGAAUAUAGUGGGGUUUUUUGGAUCUCUUGUGAAGUAUUUUAGUGGAGUUGACUUGUUUCUUAUGUCUUAUUUUCUGAGGAAGAAAUCAUAACGAAACAUCACUGGUGAGGGAAUUUUAAUAUAACCAGGAGUUUUAUAAUACAAGGUAUAUAAAAAGUCAUCUAACAGUUUUGAUAGGUGAAGUUUGCAGAGUACACUGAACUGAAAUAAAUCCAAAUGUCUGGAAUGCUGUAGAUGUGGAUUUUUGAUUUUAAUCUAUGUUUUCAUUUUGCACUGCAAGAUAGGAUAUUAAGAGGCUUUCAGUUCUCUAGCAUGUGUUGUUUUUUUCCCCUUCAACUCUUCAUAAUACAGAGCUGGUUUUGGUUGUUGGUAAGUCCUCUUUUCCUGUAGAGAAGUGUGGUUCUCAUACUGCAGAUGAAAGAAGAAAAUCUUGUGGAUGAUGAUCAUCUCUAAAUGAAGUGUUUCUAAAUGUUUGCUUAACCAAGUUUUGAAUGUCAGUGGCUUUCUGCUUCUCUUAUGGCUUCUUCAUUUGUUUGCUGGCUGUUAUACAUAAUACUGCAAUUUUUGGUAUAGGCGGUCCUUAACCAUCUUCUUGUAGUAAGAAGAGGAGAACUUUGUGGAGUAACUGUUCUAGUGCAUUUUGUUUCAUUAACUGAGUCAUUUUUGUUUCAGAUAUGGAAAAUAUAAACUCUACAGGGUGUGAAUCUUUAGUGUCAUAUGCUAUUUUCUGCAGUUUUAGACACUUCUGAUGAUUGCACAGUUGGUUUUUGAAUGCAAUGCUUUCAUUGUAUGUAAAGCAUUUUAUUGUCUGUUGCGAUGCCCCUGUAACUUCCUUAUUUGUGAGGAGACUUCUUCAUUUGUCAUUGGAAUUGUGCUAGCGUUCUCCAGCUGUCGACUGAAAAAUAAAAAUGGUUGGAAAGAC